rnacentral:rRNA from 1 species
UGGGGAAUUUUGGACAAUGGGGGCAACCCUGAUCCAGCAAUGCCGCGUGUGUGAAGAAGGCCUUCGGGUUGUAAAGCACUUUUGUCCGGAAAGAAAACGCCGUGGUUAAUACCCGUGGCGGCUGACGGUACCGGGAGAAUAAGCACCGGCUAACUACGUGCCAGCAGCCGCGGUAAUACGUAGGGUGCAAGCGUUAAUCGGAAUUACUGGGCGUAAAGCGUGCGCAGGCGGUCCGCUAAGACAGAUGUGAAAUCCCCGGGCUUAACCUGGGAACUGCAUUUGUGACUGGCGGGCUAGAGUAUGGCAGAGGGGGGUAGAAUUCCACGUGUAGCAGUGAAAUGCGUAGAGAUGUGGAGGAAUACCGAUGGCGAAGGCAGCCCCCUGGGCCAAUACUGACGCUCAUGCACGAAAGCGUGGGGAGCAAACAGGAUUCAGAUACCCUGGUAGUCCACGCCCUAAACGAUGUCAACUAGUUGUCGGGUCUUCAUUGACUUGGUAACGUAGCUAACGCGUGAAGUUGACCGCCUGGGGAGUACGGUCGCAAGAUUAAAACU